UACGUAGGGUGCAAGCGUUGUCCGGAAUUAUUGGGCGUAAAGAGCUCGUAGGCGGUCUGUCGCGUCGGAUGUGAAAACCCAGGGCUCAACCCUGGGCCUGCAUUCGAUACGGGCAGACUAGAGUUCGGUAGGGGAGACUGGAAUUCCUGGUGUAGCGGUGAAAUGCGCGAUAUCAGGAGGAACACCGGUGGCGAAGGCGG
rnacentral:rRNA from 1 species